UUUGCAAAGGAUUUUCUAAAUAAAGGUGAAGCCCAAAGGUCAAACCCGUAUACCCGAAAGUAUAAACAGAUUAAUCAUACCUAAUCCCUAAGCUUAUUAAUCAGUUAAUCGUUUGCAGAUGAAACCUUCGUCAUUUCCCUAGGGUUUUCACUCGUUCACGCUCGGAAAUUCAGAGAGAAUCCACGGGAUAAACGGGUCGUUAACCACACGCUGUCAACGGGGCAACCCGAGCUCGCGAGAUCCUGGAGGAGCUCCGCUAGUGUUCCUCGGAGCUAUUGGUUUGAGCACGACCGCCUUCGUGGAAACCGUCGGAGAUGGAUCUGGCCGAAAUCGAUCCGCCGGAGAAUUUGACAACUUUUGGACCUUUGGAUUCCUAACUCCAGACUUUUGGAAGAAGACUCGAUUCUCAAAAACACGAGGAAUGAACUGAGUUAUUAGGAUGUUCCUAUAGGGGAAUGUUGGCGUCUUUCUUUAUCAUGCAUUCGUCCGAAGACCAAGUGAACAGUGUACAAUUGAUGAAACCAUCACACUUAGUUUGUGUCGGCAUUUCCAAGGACAAGCUGAUGGAAGUGAUAGGUCAAAGAUGAGCUGAAGCGAGGAGAAAAGCCACAAGACAAUGCAAAAGCUUGGAAUGAAGCCCACCCUUGGAGUUAGCCGAGUCACUGUCAAGAAGAGCAAGUACGUUGGUUUCCCAUAACCCCUUUUCGAUAAUUUUCAUUUAUUUGUAUCAACACUUUUUUCUGGUUUAAUUUAUUUUUCAAACGUUAGACCCUAUUCGGAACUAGUGUGAUCGAAUUACUUUAUCUUGCACCAGUUCAACUAUUUUUGAAAUAUCCAAACCAUUUUCGCUCAUCAAAAUCGAUUUUCGAAACCCUUUUUCCCCAAUCAUGCAUUCAUGUGAAGAUCAAGUGGACAGUGUACCGUUGAUGAAGCCUCGAUGAUCAAUUUGGUUAACUUGAAACUUUAUACCAGCAGAUUCUUAGGAGAUUGGCUUGCAUGCACGCUAUUGCCGGAGUUUUCCAUGGAGACUUGAAGCCUCAAAAUGUCUUGGUUUUUUGGCGAGUAGACUAUUAAUAAUUAGCAUAGAGGAGGAAACAUUUCCCUCUUCUAAACGUAUUCAGUGGAUACUGGCACGCAUUGGGAUCCUUUCAUGGGUGGUUUGAUUCAGAUUUUCUUGAUAUCACGAGGAUGAUCUGAAUUAAAUUGUGCAGCUUUUUAAUGGCGGUGGAGGUCGUUGUGCCCCGAAUACUGAUUUUUAACGACAAAAUACACUUUUUAAUAGUAUUACCUUUUAAAGGCCCACCAACUUAAUCAGUUACCGGGCGAAAUACUCAUUUUUCAUAGGCCCACUAAAACUUUUUAACGGCCCAAGGCCAAGUCAGCUUUCAAAUGGUUUUCAUGGGCAUAGUAUAACUUCUUAAGGUACCAGUUUAUCCCAGGUCCAACUAGAACCAGCCCAACCAGCCAAGGCCAACUUAUUGUAUAGUUUUUGAAGCAGUAUGUUUGGUGGGGGGCUUCAAAAUUUGUUCGUGCGUUUAGCCUGCGACGUAUCUUGAGCGGGUUUCUUGAGGUUACUCUUUCAGAAGUGCAAACCGAUUCAGUGGGAAAAUAUUGGUUUGGGCCCAACAUGUAUUUAUCAAUUAAAUUAAUCUGCAAAUGAAUAGUAAAUAUUAAAUUUACUAAUAGAUGUAACGAUGCCCUUUUUUUAUUAUUCAAAAGUUCUUCAAGUGCAAAACAAAUCACUGAACUACAUUAUUUUCUUCUUAAAACAUGACCUAAUACAUUAGUUUAAAUGCAUAACCCAUCGUGGUACAGUCUAAUUAUACUAUGCCUAUUCAACGCAGGCCCAAUAAGUUAAUACAAUCACAACAUAUUUUUAGCUCUUGAAAUUUUCACUUUAUUUAGCUCUUAACACAUUAUUUUUUCAAAUAGUUCCAAAAUUUUAUAGGCUCAUAAACAGAUAUUCGAAAAUAUGAGCAGUUCAUGAAUUUUUUUUCAAGAAACCUAAAUAUGUUAUAGUUUUGCAAAGAGUUCAUAAAGACUUUUUAUAGUUAAAAUGAUGGUUACAUCUUUUUACGUCUUUAAUGUUAGUUAGAUUCCAACAUCGAAAAUUUGUUUACAAU